rnacentral:tRNA from 1 species
ACUGCUUUAGCAUAAUAGAAUGUGUGGGAUUGUAGCUCCUGAGAUAGUAAUUACUAGGCAGGG